rnacentral:lncRNA from 1 species
ACCUCGUGGCAGACUCAAGAGGUAUAACCCUCACCCAGAGAACUUUCUGGAAAAUUAACUGAGUGCGUACUUGCUUAAAGGGCACUGUGCUUGGAGAUCAGGACAAAAAGGUUGUGACUCCCCCCAUCCUUCCAGACCAUCCCAGAAG